UACGAGGGGUGCAAGCGUUAUUCGGAAUCAUUGGGCGUAAAGGGUGCGUAGACGGUUUGUUAAGUCUAUUGUUUAAUACUCCGGCUUAACCGGAGAAAGGCAGUGGAAACUGAUGGACUAGAGGAUGAGAGAGAGAAGUGGAAUUCCUGGAGUAGCGGUCAAAUGCGUAGAUCUCAGGAGGAACACCGAUGGCGAAGGCAGCUUCUUGGCUCAUACCUGACGUUGAGGCACGAAAGCGUGGGGAGCAAACAGG
rnacentral:rRNA from 1 species